rnacentral:rRNA from 1 species
UACAGAGGGUGCAAGCGUUGUUCGGAAUUAUUGGGCGUAAAGCGCGUGUAGGCGGCUUGGCAAGUCAGAUGUGAAAGCCCUCGGCUUAACCGAGGAAGUGCGUCUGAAACUGCUGAGCUUGAGUGUCGGAGAGGAUGGCGGAAUUCCGCAAGUAGAGGUGAAAUUCGUAGAUAUGCGGAGGAACACCGGUGGCGAAGGCGGCCAUCUGGACGACGACUGACGCUGAGACGCGAAAGCGUGGGGAGCAAACAGG